GAGGAAGUAAAAGUCGUAACAAGGUUUCCGUAGGUGAACCUGCGGAAGGAUCAUUACAGAAUGCCGAAGCCUCCGCUCGAGGUACGGAUUCUCACCCUUCGUUUACCUUCACGCUGUUGCUUUGGCGGAAACGCCAGAGGCCUUCAACCCUCGAAUCUUUGCAGUCUGAGUACCACACAAAAUAGUCAAAACUUUCAACAACGGAUCUCUUGGUUCUGGCAUCGAUGAAGAACGCAGCGAAAUGCGAUAAGUAAUGUGAAUUGCAGAAUUCAGUGAAUCAUCGAAUCUUUGAACGCACAUUGCGCCCCUCGGUAUUCCGGGGGGCAUGCCUGUUCGAGCGUCAUUACAACCCUCAAGCUUCGCUUGGUGUUGGGCUCGCCUCCCCGCCGCGGGGGGCCUGCCUCAAAAGCAGUGGCGGCGCACCAUCUAAGCUCCAGCGCAGUAAUGCUCGUCGCUGGAUGGGAGGAUGGUGGCUUGCCCCAAAACCCCCGACCACCUUAGGUUGACCUCGAAUCAGGUAGGGAUACCCGCUGAACUUAAGCAUA
rnacentral:rRNA from 1 species